ensembl:lncRNA
UGAGGUUUGCGUGUGACAUCACUGACGCUCGGUGCCAAGUGUCCUGAAAGAGUGUCUGCUUGUGUCCCUGUGAAAAGACAAAGGGGACGAUUGGAAUCUCUCCAUGUCUUCCAUGGGAACAACAGACAGCCCAUGGACAGCUAAGAGAAUAGAACAGAGGAGUCAGCCCCAAACGAAGCUGAGUUCCGGAGCAUGGGACUUAAUUAUGGUUGGUAGAGGACUAGUGUGAUUCAGCCCAAGGCUGUAGUGACUCUGAUGAGGUCUCUGCAAGGGUUCAGACAUAUGUGGGGCUUUCCUGAAGAGUUAGGGGUUGAACGAUUUCAGCUAGCGUACUAUAAACCAGUGUGGGAUAAAUAUUGGGGUAGUGUUUUGUAUUGUAUUGUUAAAUGUCAGUGCAGAAUUUUAAUUUGCUGUACGUCAGGAACAUAUUUUUUCCAACUGAAAAGUCUGUGAAACAAAUAUGUAUGUAAGACUUAAAAAAGAUAACCGAAAAACAUUAGAGAUUACUUAUGGCGGUAAAGAAAUCAGCGUGCUUUAAAACUUAAAUACUUGCAUUGUGACACCAAAGACUUUGGCCAACGCUUGUGUGAAAUGGUGACACCUAGUGGCAAACAUAAAAGCAAAUGCUGAUGAAUUUCUUUAAAAAUGACUUAUACUUAUACUGUCAUAUGUCCAGCACAAAUAGAAAACAAAUAAUUUUCACUACAGAAGCAGUUUAUUAAACAUUCUUGACAAACUUCUACAUAGUUAUAACUCCAUUGAUGAGUUUAAUCAACAAAUGUACCCAGUAUUGAUAUUAUGUGCAGUUCUGAUGUUUUUCUUUUAAAAGGGGAAACUCAAAUAUAUCAGUACAGUUAGGGGGAGUCAACUGGCCCCAUUGCAACAGGUUAAAACCACCAUAUAAAGUGCAAUAAUGACAAUUCAUGAAACCAGAUAGCCUUUGAACUUAUACAGCACUUAUUUGACAAUUAUUGUUAAGUUACCAUAAUUCUUACCAUUAAAACAUGUACUGGCUAUCGCAAAAUGUACAUGCAUUGGCUAUCACACCAAUCUGACUGAUAUACUGAAACUCCUUACAAAAUGUGAAGAUCUGAAGUAGGGAUUUACACUAACCCCCUUAGAAGGCUUGUGAACUACAACAACAUGUUAUACUGUUGCAGCUGCAGUGUACAUGUAUUUGUAUGUAAAAUACAGUACUGAAACAUCUUGACUAGGCUAAAUACCUAAAGUGAAACAAUGAGUAAAUCCUUUGAAUAUUUAACCCAAUAUAUCUUGUUGAAUAUUGCAUAUUCAUAAAAGCAUACAUACACAAGAAUACGAAUUAAAAUGCUAAACACAAAUCUUUGGGUUAUUCACUGUAAUUCUAUGCCAUUUUCUGCACAUGUAUAUUUUAUAUAUUUCAUAUUUUAGAGUGAAUAUUCAAAUAAGUCCUGAAAACAUGGUUAAAGUAACGCUUUUAAGUAAUUAAACACAUAACUCCAGUUAAACACACCUGAUUCUAGUAGUACUAUACAUAUACAGCAUGUCAUUUCUCUGAACUUCUAGUUCAGUUGGCUAGUAUGUUUGGAAGCGCCAAACUAUCACACAUCAUGCAGCUGACUAGGCUACUUGUUCAAAUAGUCCAAGUAGCAUUUCUCGUUCAUUUAAAAGGUUUCAUCAGUAGUGUGUCUAUACUGGCACAGAAGCCAUAUUAGAGUUCAGCUACUGUUUGACACCUGACUUGAGAUGACGACAUAAGAUACUCCACUGCAUGUCUGUCAGACGUAGCACAAGACCAUGAAGUUGACCACUGGUCAGACAAUUUGCACAACGUCGAUCAUAGAGCUCUCGUUUCUUUCGUCUCAAUAAUACUUCAACAAUAAAUCAAGUUAUUGUCACAUCACACACCAUAAUGUUGUCUCUCUAAUAAUACUUAAAUUUUCACAAUAUUUUUAAGUGACCAUUAUAACAAUAAUCAAGAUAGACUACACUAUCAUCAGACCAUUUUCUCGAUAUUUCAUUCAGUACUGUAAGUAAAUAUUUUGUUGUGGCAAUGUAAACAUAUCCCUCUGACCUUUCAAAAUACAGCUGUGUAAACAAAAUCUGCUAGAUUAAUACAGAGGGCUUCAACUCAAGGGCGUUAACAUGGCAUUAAAGUCUUGAUGUCACCUGUGUAUAGUUAUUCUCAUAAAUAUGAGCUACCAACUACCUAGCAUGCUUUACUUGCAGAGUUGAAAACAACUGUGAGUGAAUGAGGGCAUGCCAGAUAGCCAGCGGCCCACUUUGCCCCCUGGAAUAGAUACACAUGGACUGUGUUGGUAUAUUGACACCAUGCUAUGGACCCUCAAAAUGCUGCCCUGAAUCUGAAGACCACAAACCAUUAGCAUCAGUGUCACAUUUCAUUGACAACCAUAUUUUUUUUAAACUUUUUUUUAACUAAAGCCCACAGUGAAAUUGACACAGCGCUGGUCUGAUUUGGUCUGAUGUCAAGUUCAGGUUGUCUUGAGGAUAUCACAUUUGCACUGAACAUGAUCUAUCAUGAACAGGCAAACACAGUCAAACAUUUCUGUUCUUAUAAAAAUGAAUAAAAAAAAUAAAAUAAAAAAAAAUAACAACAAAGGGUCUUGUUUACUUGGCCAAUGUUUUGCACCAUUAUAAGUGACCGUCUCAAUGUCCUAUACUCGGUGUAUGGUCCCUACUAUUUGUCAACUUGUCUCAUAUGCCCUUUAUGGGAGCUGCCCUCUAAAAUCACAAAAUGUUGUGUUGACAUUAGGGUGGACAACUACCAAAAGCAAAUUCCCAUCGAUAUGCAGUAACAGUAACACUAUGAUGCUGUCCAGGAACACAGAAAGCAAAUUCCCAUUGAUAUGCCAUAACAGUAACACUAUGAUGCUGUCCAGGGACACAGAAAGCAAAUUUCCGUCGAUAUGCCGUAACAGUAACACUAUGAUGCUGUCCAGGGACACAGAAAGCAAAUUCCCAUUGAUAUGCCAUAACAGUAACACUAUGAUGCUGUCCAGGGACACAGAAAGCAAAUUUCCGUCGAUAUGCCGUAACAGUAACACUAUGAUGCUGUCCAGGGACACAGAAAGCAAAUUUCCGUCGAUAUGCCGUAACAGUAACACUAUGAUGCUGUCCAGGGACACAGAAAGCUAAUUUCCGUCGAUAUGCCAUAACAAUAACACAAUUAUGCUGUCCAGGGAAACAGAAAGGGUGAAAUGAGAUGACAGUGUUACCUCGUACUUACUCUGUCAAACUAAAACACAAGUAAUGAAAAGAACUCCUAUCUCUUUGAUUCAAUGGAUGAAAUGAAACAUGACUUCUGAUCUCUAUGAAAAAAAAGAAUCAGAUAAAAGCAAUGUUUGUACAUUUACAUACUUAUAUAGUUGCUUGUGUUAGAUUGGUAGUGCGUGACUUAAGAGAUCCUGUAUUUUAACCUUCCAGAAUCAUUGAGACAAAUAUAGAAAUAGGUUACAAGGUUGGUAAAUUAACUCCAUAAUUAGGCAUAAUUACUUGAAUUGAAUUAUUUUCUUGUUGUCCAAUAAAAUCUCAAGAUAAGCAGAAUCAGUAAUCCUGACUUUAAGCGUUGAUAUAUUCUUGGAAAAAGGCACAAGGCAAAAUAAUAAUCCAUCCCUAUUAUUAGGUCUCAUUAUAAGAUAUUACUAUAUAAAAAAAGUUAUAUAAAAUAUUAAUAUAAUUAUGCAAUAUUUGUACUUCUUCCUUACAUGUGCGACUUCACAAUUAAAAAAUAUGUUAAAAGACGUGUCUUUUUCUUAAUCUGUAGAGCCAAACAGCUGAAGUGUUUAUUUAAACAUAAGAUGACAUCCUAACAAGCUGAACAUCCACCAACGUCCAUUACUUGUUGAAAAAAAAGAACAAAAAUGUUGUUAAAUAUAACUUCAAGUCAAUUGAAAGGUGGCCUUUUUAAAAAAGAAAAAAAGGACAACAACAAAGAAAACCUCAUUCUGACGGCUAAUAUAAUGGAAUGCUUUGAAUCAGCAUCCUGUCAAAAUGAGAAGCAUUUAGAUGUAGAAAUAAGACUUUUUCAUCUGUGUAGAGACACAGACGUACUGUUAGAUAUGCCCACAAAGGGGUUGUCAGGUAGUAGUAAUGCAGUGGUCGGUACCUGCGAUAGCUCUUUCAGGUUAAUAACAGCCCGCCCUUCCUGGUCUGGUCGGGAAACAGAGCAGAGGAAACGUACGACAUGGAGGGGCUCAGAGAAAACUCAGCCUUGUUCUUUUGCUGGUCGCUCGGGUCCCUUACCUCCAUGUCUGUAACUUUGUUGGUGUGAAAUUACUUAAACAUUUUAUAAUGCAACAGUGCACCGCACAAACUGUGAAUUUUUUUUUUUCAUCUACAACUUCGAAUUGAAACUAUUUAGCCAUUGUCAAGACAAACAUAGAUUAAAAUAAGACAAGGCUGAAGUGUUUAUUUAAACAUAAGAUGACAUCCUAACCUUUCAUGAACUGUACUGUAACAACUAAAUGUAAGCUAAACCUUUACUGAUAUACUAACAGAGAAAUGUUUAAGGUUUUUUCAACACCUGGGGAAAAGAUGGUAUCUCCUGCUUCUGUGGUCUGUUAAAAGCAUAUCGAGGUGUACGGACGGUCACCACCAUUUGUCAUUUUCAGUCCUUGAGUUUCAUUAAAGGACACCAGCUGAUGAAUGAACCGCGUCGAAGCAGUGGUCACUAUCGCACAGCCCAGUGAUAAAGGUAAUGUUGUGACUCGAUGUGCCACCAAGCUUCUUCCAUAGGGCUCAGGCUUUUCAAGAUCAUCUGUGGAUGGCAGGGUCUCAGAUUUGUGGCGGCGAGAACGGGAAGAACGGGUAGUGCGUGUCGUCUUCGUCUACAAAGAAGCACUGGAAGUAGGGGAUAUCCUCUGGAAUUGGACGAAAAUUAGAGAAAAGUAUCACACAAAGAUCUACUUAUUUUCAACCUGCUUUGAGCUUUAACUAAGGAAAUCAAAUGAGCGACAUUUCUAGGCGUCUCUUACCCUCUUCCUCUACACCAAGGCCGUCUGGUUUGGGUGGUUCUAUGGAUAAAUAAAUAGGUAAUGUCAGUGACAAGACCUUGAAUUGACAACAUGCAUCACGAGUGACCAUUACAAUAGAACUAGUGUAUAUAUAUUACAUUGCAUUACAUUCAGUCAUUUAGCAGUAAUUUUUUGUCCAAAGCGACGUACAAGGGAGAGAACAAUCAAGCUGCAAACCAUUAUUCAUGCAAAUGAGACCACAGCAUUCACUUAGAGAGGGAAAGAAAACCUAAUCUUACCUUCCUUUGUAGGUGCUGGUACAACAGAUUCAACUGGUGCCACGGGCUCUGUAGUGCAAUAUCAUACCCAUGUUAGAAUUCCCCAAGUUUUUAUUUUAGUGGAAGUACUGUGGCAGUGUAACAGAAGUAGUACUAGUAUUAAAACAUAUUAAUGUAUUACAAACAUGAUAACAAACAGCAUGAGAUACCUUUCUUUACAGGUUUGGCCUUCUUUGGGAUUUCAGGCUCUGAAACAGAGAGGAAAGUGACACUACAGUCAGAAUGGGAAUGGGGUUGCCCAUAAUUUUAUCAGUAUAUUAGCAUAUGCCAUAUACCUUCUGUAACUGGUGCGAGCCUUGGCCUCUCUUUCAGUACCACUAGUUCUAUAUCAAGACACAAAGAUUUGUCAAGUGAAGCUUGUGGAAUCAGAGAGGGAGCUCAGUAACCAAGUUAGGACAUUUAUCGUACAUAUUUAUCUAUGUUAGAAUAUUUCUAAAGAUUUGUUUGCUAUAUGGGAAGCGACACAGUUUGAAUAAAAAGCGUAUUGCAGAUUAUGUAGUUUUGAUCUAGUUUCUAUCGUAAGCAUUAAUAGCCACCUCUUUGACAUGCAAAUGCUUACAAAAUAGUAUAUUUAUACUAAAAAUAGUGUGUUUAGUAUGCUAGUUCUAAUAUCCUGCACCUCCCGUUGUGAUCACUGCGACUUGUAGUCUGUUUCAUUUAGCCUUGAUUUUAGAUUCAAGCUCAUGCAGUUGUUUGACAUUAGUUCAAACUCUCUCUCUCUCUCUCUCCCUCCCUCUCUCUCUACCUACCUCCCUCCCUCUCCCUCCCCCCUCUCUCUCCACACACACACACACUCUCUCUCCCCCUCCCUCCCUCUCUCUCUCUCUCUCUCUCUCUCUCUCUCACACCCACAUACACACACACAGUAGCGUAAGCACAAGAUGCCAAGCUCUUUGCUACUACCAGUCACUUUACUGCCACUGCUAAAGCCACUGCUGAUGCCUCUCAUUAUGAACUAGCAUCUGCUCUUGCGGUGAGCGAUGUGACAGGACAAGGCAGGAGAUGAGUGACUACAAUGAUGCUCCAGAUCAGUGUUGUUUGCAAAAGCCGAUGGCUGAAUUGCGACAAAACAACAUGGCAAUAUUGAUGAGAAACAACAGGGAUUUAGGCACAUCUUGUCACAAUCUUGUAACUAGAAUUCAUUGUAUCUAUGCAAAAUACCUUUUUUGGCUGGUUUAGCUUUCCCCUUUAUAACUUUGUGUUCUAAGUAAAACAUAAAAAAAAAAUCUUUCUUUCCCAGAGUUGCUUUUGUAAUAUUUGAGAGAGAAUCAAAUUCUAUUCAGAAAUAAACCAGAUGCAAAAAAACUUCAGCAACCGAAAUAACACUCCUUUACAUGUUUUGUAUGGAAUUACUUUUGCAAUAUUGACAUCACUCUUGUGCAUCAUAAUAUGUGGUGUUUGAGAUGGGGGAUGGAAACAAAACAGAAAAGUGGCUGUGUGGAUGCACCUGUAGUCACCGGUGGAGUUGUUUAUACCUACUUCACUCUCGCAUAGUCAUCUCUAAUGUGGGGGAACUGGCGGUUUUCAUCAGUAAAUUAAGUAAAUGUGUAGAUUUGCUUGAACCAAAAGGGAUAUGUUGUUUCUAUCCCGUCUUGCCACCAUGUGCAUGCGGGGGUUUAAUCUAGGGGAUGAAUAUCUGCAAAAUAAUUUGGUCAGAAUCCCACUGAUAUGUAAUUUAGACAGAAAAAACAACAACAUUUAUUUGGUUACCUUUCUUUGUUGGUUCAGGCUUAGCUUUUUCCUUCGGAGCCUCGGGUUC